GUCGUCAGCGCAGAUUGCUGGAUAUCGCCUGGAAACCACAGCUUCAGCUUCAAGCUUCAGUUCCCCCCCAGCAUUGCAGGACUGAAGAGGGAGAUCUCUGCAACCAACAGAGGGACUUCAGAGUGGAACAGGAGGAACCAGAAUAUCAACAGAUCAAAGUAGAGCAGGAGGAAGCAGAACUGCUACAAAUUAAAGAGGAGCCAGAUGAACCAGAACCUCCACAGAUUGAAGAGGAGCAGAAGGAACCAGAACCUCCACAGAUUGAAGAGGAGCAGGAGGAACUUUCCAUCAGUCAGGAUGAAGAGCAGCUUGUUUUAAAACAGGAGACUGAAAUCUUGAUGGAGAUUCCUACUGAUAAUCAUAAUGAACACAGUCAGAACAGAAGAGACAUAAUUCAUGUCCAAAAUGUGGACACAUCUCACACAUCAGAAAGUCAGUGGGACUCGAUUGAGUUUAAUGGACGACGUUAUGUCUGUGAGAGAUGUGGUAAAUUUUUUGGUUACUUGUCUCAGUUCAGAAAUCACAUGAGAACUCACACAGGAGAAAGGCCUUUUUCUUGUAAUGAAUGUGAUAAAAGAUUUAGCAGUAAAUAUUACAUGAAAACACACAUGAGAACCCAUACAGGAGAAAAGCCUUUUUCUUGUAAAGAUUGUGAUAAAAGUUUUACUUCUAAAGGUAGCCUCAAAACACAUGAGAACUCACACAAGAGAAAAGCUUUAUCCUGGUAAAAAAAAGACAAAUCAUUUAGUUUGAAUUGUCAACUUGAAAAACAAACGCAGCAGAAGUCUCAUGGAAAAGACGAAAAGGGUUUCAAAAGAAAAAAACGUUUAUAUAGCUGGGAAUUGAUAAGAGAAAAAAAAUGAAUCGCAAACUUGGACAACAAUUAAUAAAAUUAAAGAUGAAUUCUGAUUAAUUUUUUUAACCGUAUUUGCCGACCACUUACUAUCUGCAAAAAAGUAAUCUUGAAAUAAUUACGAAAUUAAUUUUACAUGACAUGAUCACGCACCAGACCAUAGAUGAAAUAGUCUGCUUUUUGUGAAAAUGCGAUCUAAAUUAAAAAAAAAAAAACAUCAAGAUUAAAGUACUAAAAACCAAUUAAAUCUUUUUUUAUUUUGUAAAUAACUAGUGAUACACGAUAUUGACUUUUUGCAGCAGAUACUGAUAUCCAAUAUUUUCUGGCCUCUUGCAGCUGAUACAGAUACCAAUAACCAACUAAUAUUUUUUUUAAUACUUGAGAAAAAAACAUUUGCAAGUACAAAAUGAGAGGAUAUGGAUCUUAUGUGUUCCAUCACAUUUUCAGAACUUGUUUUGUAAAUAACUUGAACAACAGGUAGUACAAACACUAUUAGCUUUUCAGCCUGCUAAACAUCUGUAAAUAGAGAAAGUGCAUUUUAAUGGUCAGAACAAAUGUUAAGACUUUAACUUAAAUAGCAAUGUAACAAGGACAUUUUCAAUACAAAUAUUCCCAAUAUAAUAACAUGCAAAAGAAAUACUUUGAUCUCUAAGUUCAAAAUUACUGCUUUGUUUUCAACCGAUGUGCAAAAUGAAUAGGUGCUCAUAGAAAUGAAUUUCUCAAAAACAUAGGCAUAGGCUUGGACCUCUCUGCUGUUUGGUGUAUGUAGCGCGGUGUUUGGACAGACCUGAUAUAUUUGGUGUUUAAGUGCAGUUGUUCAGGGUUUUACAGAUAUUAGUCCUUGGAAAUAUUAGUUUGUUAAUGAACAUUUUGUUGUGGAGCAGUGCAACGUUUACUGAGAAGUUUACUGAAACAUUUUAGUGAUUUUACCAUGAAGUUCUUCAUUUAAGAAAGGGGGAUGUAGUAUCAGGACGUAACAGGGUAGGAACCUUUGUGUGUGUGAUAUAUGUUCCCUGGGGGACGUUCACUAAAGAGGAACCUGUGCAGAGCUGCAAGUAGGCUCUGAGAUUUCUAAAACUCGGCCACCUGAGCAGUUACUGGUGUUCCCGCCAUUAAAAUAAACUUUUUUUUACAUCUGAGACAGAGCGCGCUCUCUUCAUCUACUGUGGAUAAACAGACACUUUGGACCUCUUUGCCAGCGGGUUGUGCCCUCCGCCGUACGUUAGUUGUCCAUGUGUCAGUGGAGGGGCGAGACCAACCCCUUCCUCAUGCAGCUCAGCUCAGUGAGGGAGAGAUGGAGAGAUCCGUCUGUCUUUGUGGUGCAUGUGGAGGCUGCGCUGUUGUGGGGUCGCUACAGUGGCACCGUCAAGCUGGACCAAUGAGUCUGAAGCUUUUGGGGUGAGCAGACAAGUUGUAACACAAGUAAAUACAGAGUGGUGAGGGAGGAAGUUUAACCCUUUAAUUAUCAGCCCAUUCUAUCGGCUAAUUUUUCUCUUAUCGGAAUUAUCGGUGUGACGUCAUAAUGUCCAUUACCGAUAAUUAUCGGUAACCGAUAUUAUUGUGAAACCCUAUAAAUAACUAUGGUAUCAGUGGGAAAAGAAUCCAAUAAGGUGUUUUAAUGCUCACUGUGGAAGACUGCACUGCUUAGGGAGAGAGAAACACUGCUACUCCAAGUGGUGCGAUUAAUUUGUGUUAAUGCGUUAAUCAUAAUUUGUUAAUUGCAUGCAUUAAUGCGUUAACAUGCAUAGUUUUUUUUUCUUUUUUUUUAGAAAGAGGUUGCAAUUUAAUACAGAACAGUUUUUUUGACCUCUUUAUUGUUUGUGUAUUACAGGUAAAAGUUUUAUGUGUCAGCAAAACAGAAUCAAAAUGAAACUUGUAGAAAAUAAGAGCUUCUUCAUUUCCUGGAAGUACCAUGGUGCUCAGGUUUGUUUUUUAUUUUCUUGUUGGUGUAAUAGAAGAUAAUUCUGUCUGACAAUGUUCUUGUUGAAAGUAGCAGAACUCAUUAUUUCCUCUGGAUCAGACACUCGAGAAAAAUGUUUUCAUUUAUUCUAAAUCUCCAGGUUUGUAAGCUUAAAUCACAUUAUCACAGUUUGUAUAUAUAUAUAUAUAUAUAUAUAUAUAUAUAUACAUAUAAAAGCUUGUUUAAACCUUUUAAUUGUUUUGUUUUUUUUUAAGUCUUGUUGCUAAUAGAAUCGUUAGACACUAUAUCCUCUGUUUUAAAUAAAUCCUGUCUGGGGACUGAAGGCCACAGACAUGCAGCUGUGAGGAGAGGAUGAACUCUUGUAUAUAUGUGUCCAAAAUAGUAUCACUGAUUGUGUUGUUCAAAUUCAGUAUGCAGAGUAAAUGUAACCAUUGUGUGUCUCCUCUUUUCUUUUCAAGUAAAAUACCAAAAUAUACGUUUUUUUACUCUUGA